rnacentral:rRNA from 1 species
GGGCCCGCACAAGCGGUGGAGUAUGUGGUUUAAUUCGAUGCAACGCGAAGAACCUUACCAGGGUUUGACAUCCUGCGAACCUCUUGGAAACGAGAGGGUGCCUUCGGGAACGCAGUGACAGGUGGUGCAUGGCUGUCGUCAGCUCGUGUCGUGAGAUGUUGGGUUAAGUCCCGCAACGAGCGCAACCCACAUCCCUAGUUGCCAGCAGUUCGGCUGGGCACUCUAUGGAAACUGCCCGUGAUAAGCGGGAGGAAGGUGUGGAUGACGUCAAGUCCUCAUGGCCCUUACGGGUUGGGCUACACACGUGCUACAAUGGUGGUGACAAUGGGUUAAUCCCAAAAAGCCAUCUCAGUUCGGAUUGGAGUCUGCAACUCGACUCCAUG